rnacentral:rRNA from 2 species
UGAAGUUAGCGGCGGACGGGUGAGUAACACGUGGGUAACCUGCCCAUAAGACUGGGAUAACUCCGGGAAACCGGGGCUAAUACCGGAUAACAUUUUGAACUGCAUGGUUCGAAAUUGAAAGGCGGCUUCGGCUGUCACUUAUGGAUGGACCCGCGUCGCAUUAGCUAGUUGGUGAGGUAACGGCUCACCAAGGCAACGAUGCGUAGCCGACCUGAGAGGGUGAUCGGCCACACUGGGACUGAGACACGGCCCAGACUCCUACGGGAGGCAGCAGUAGGGAAUCUUCCGCAAUGGACGAAAGUCUGACGGAGCAACGCCGCGUGAGUGAUGAAGGCUUUCGGGUCGUAAAACUCUGUUGUUAGGGAAGAACAAGUGCUAGUUGAAUAAGCUGGCACCUUGACGGUACCUAACCAGAAAGCCACGGCUAACUACGUGCCAGCAGCCGCGGUAAUACGUAGGUGGCAAGCGUUAUCCGGAAUUAUUGGGCGUAAAGCGCGCGCAGGUGGUUUCUUAAGUCUGAUGUGAAAGCCCACGGCUCAACCGUGGAGGGUCAUUGGAAACUGGGAGACUUGAGUGCAGAAGAGGAAAGUGGAAUUCCAUGUGUAGCGGUGAAAUGCGUAGAGAUAUGGAGGAACACCAGUGGCGAAGGCGACUUUCUGGUCUGUAACUGACACUGAGGCGCGAAAGCGUGGGGAGCAAACA